CGCGGGAGCCCGCGGAGGGCACGGCGGGCAGGACACGGCGGGGCACGGCAGGACCGGGCAUCUCUGCCCCCGCACGGGCUGCCCUGCCGGGGCACGGCCCCGCCCCGCACCGGGCCCCCGCCACCCCCGCGCUGCCGGGGACCCACGCCUUGAGCGCCUUCUCCCUGCGGGGGUGUCCGGGCAUCCGCCCUGGCACCAGCGGGGAUUCCCGACGAGCGGACACGUCCCCGCUCAGGGGAGGACCGCAGUGCAUGUAGCGUUUCAUAGCUGGUUACUGCUGUGCUUUUUCACGGCCAUGCACCACCUUAAAGCUCUUCUGCACAUCAUUCAUACGCAUGGAAGUGCUGUGGAUUUAUAUUCAUCUAUAUUAUUUAGGAUGGGAGGGGUGAUGUGGUGCUAGCAAGAACAUCCUGUUUGUCAGCUGGUUGUUUAAGGUCCACGAAAAAUUUAGCUGGAGGAAGAAACAAUUGUUUAAAAAUGGGGGAAGAAGUCCAAUUUAAACACUGCUGAGUGCCAACGCUCAGCAUAGACGCUCUUCCAAGCCAUGCUGCAGAGACUACUUAGCACAGUGGCAAGUGGGUGCUGCUUGUCAUCACCAGGAAGCUUAAAGGUUUUAAUGAGAGUAAGUAGCAAUUACGGGUGCCAUGUUUUUCAGUGCUUCACUAAACGCUUCUUGAAAGUGAGGUCCGUGGAAUGCAUGAAAACUGCACCCCCCCCCCCGGUUUGUUAUCACCUCUGAACACUGGCCAACGUUUUGGGGUUCCAGAAGAAUCUGUUGGAGUCUUAUUUUUAUGCAUCAAGCUAAUUAACUGCUAAAACGUCUAAGGCUGCGACAACAUGGCUGUUUGAUAAUUGAUUUCAUUAAACAUUCAGCAUUGCUCAAAUGGCUUUGCAAUGAGCUUCAUAAGGGCUCAGGGUAAGAUAAGCAGUCAAAUGUGAGUUUGUAGUGGCAACAUACUGAAAGACCUGACCUCAAAAAAAUAAGGUGGCAGCAAAAUACAGCAAUCUCUGUAACACUUUUCACACAGACAGGGAUAUCAAAGCCAGUUCUAAAUUUAAUUAAUUUCCAAAUGGAACCCAAUUCUGGUUGUGUAUGUAUUUUCAAAUGGAGCUGUGUUCACAAGUUGGAUCUUCAAAGUGUUACAGACCAGGUAGAUUAGUGAAGUGAGUAAACCAUGCCUGUGUGGGUGAUAUUGCUGCCCUGUAACAGGCAGGAGACACCUCUGCUAGCUGAGCUUUGGAAUACCUUCAAGCAACAUCUUGUGGCUUCAUUUUAUGCUGCAGGCCACUCCAACAGAUGCAGUUUUCAUAACACACUGCUUACCUGCUUUGUGUGUCGUUCUUGUCCCUUCACCGGAUUUGCAGCGGUGAAAAACGAGGUGAUUAGAACUAACAGCUAACAACAGAAAAUCAUCAGAUGGAGAAGUUCCCCUGGAAUUGACAGUAGGCUGCUUCUGUUCAACACCUCCUCCAAUCACAUGGGAGCAAGUAUAAAUGUUGCUGAUACAACUUCCAGGUGACACAAAACCCAGAUGAACAGCGAUGUCACUGAGCUCAGGGAAGCAUGGAAUGAUCUGGAUGACUUGUGCGUUUAAAGAAAAUCCUACUCUACAAGCUCCUUAUUAAGUCAUUUACUUCAGAAGAAAGAGGUUUCUACAGAAUGGAAGGACUUUAUCUUGGAAGGCAGUGCUUCUAGAAGAGUUUGGUGAUCAGAAUGAAAAACAGCUAUACUCCAAUUCCUGGUGUAAGUCUGAAGACAAAGGGGCUAGUGAGAUUUUUGCUUGUUUCAAGAGGGAGAUCAAGAAUAGGAGUGGGAGAUCUUCCCUCUAUAAAGCACUCCUGAGACCAGUAAAAAACAGUACAGAUAUAGUGUUCAUAUAUUCAAAAGAAUAUGGAGAAAUGGAGAUGUGCAGAAAAGAGACAUCAGAAUUAUUUUUAAGCUGAAGAAAAUGUCUUGAGGUAAAAAGACUAAGAGAAUUCUCAAUAUUUAUCUAAGCAUUUGUUAUCAUGCUCAGUAGAAGAGGCUUAUAUGAUCUAAGAGUUGAAGGAUAUCAGUUUAGUCUAGUAGCAUCUUUAUGGAAAAGAAUGGCAUCAGUCUUGCUUAUCAGAGAUGGCUCAGCAUCUUCUCUUGGAAAAUCAAACUCUUUCAUGUCACUAGAGGAACACACAAAUACCCAAUGAUGCAGUAAUUCUUAGAUCUUCUGAAACCAGAAGCACCAGUGAAAAAAAUCAUAAUAUAUAUGUGCUUUUGAAAACCUACAGACACUGCCGUGGAUGCUUGGGUUUUAUUUAAAUUAAAAAGACUGAUAGUGAAUUAAUAGUUUUGCUUCAUUUUCCUUGAGGGAGCUGGGGAAUCUGAUAAUUUUUGAAAAAUGAACUUUCUCCCUGCAAAUCUUCUUCUAUUAGUGCUGACCUUAGAUCUGAAGUCUUCAGAUCAUCUAUUUUGGGGCAAAAUCUGGGAGAAAAUUAGUAGAAAUAGCUGUUAGAUGGAGAAUAACACUACAAUUCCAUGCCUUGAGUUUCUCAUUAACUGUCAGUGCUCCUAAAAAUAGUCAUUAAUAGAAUUAACUUCAGUUUCUUGGGAGCUGAUUUCCAGAAGGAGGGAGUCAGAGCUGUGGAGUCUGGAAGUGAUACCUUCUGGGGAAGAGGCAAAUUUUUCACUGAACAUGAACUGUUAGGCUUUUGAUUUGGGUUAUUUUUUGGUUUUGUGAGUUUGGAUUUUAUUGUGUGGGGUUGUUCCAGUUUGUAUUUUUUGCUGUUUUGUUUUGUUUUUCUCUGAUAGAUUUAAUUGUUACUCAUUAUAUUCUUGAGGAAAUUAUUAGUUAUGCUUGGCAAGAAGAAUAAAGCUUCUGUACAAGUAUUGGUUAAAGAGGGCACCAGCUGAAAUAUUUUCUUUGGUUUGAGCUCUAAUGUAGUGGUAAUGUUCCUGCAGAACUUUUGUCCUGCUGAAAACUGAAAAUAGCAAUAGUGAGUAAAACCACACUCUGACCCUAACAUGUUUCUCAGUUUGGGUGUCUCUGCACACCUGCACACAGCUGGGCUUGGUAGGUACUGCUGAACUGUAUGACAGGCUCUUUAGUGUCCCAAAGGCAUCAGCCAGGAUGGGUUCAGGUGCCUUACAGCCUCAUCUGUAAGGAAAGACAUGUGCCUGUAGUUGGAACAGCAACAUUUGAGAGAAAAACCUUAAUUCAAACUAGCAGAUCUUAAAGGACAAAUGUGAAUGUGUCAGAGCUGUGCACUGGAGUGUCAAGCCUCCAGUUUGUCUCAGGACAGUUUGUUUAUACAAACUUGUGGAUGUGCAUUUGAUUAAAAAAUAAGCAAAAUGUAAUGACCUUUACAGAUUC